AACGAACGUUAGCGGCGCGCCUAACACAUGCAAGUCGCACGAGAAAGGGCUUCGGCCCCGGUACAGUGGCGCACGGGUGAGUAACACGUAGGCAAUCUCCCCUCGAGUGGUGGAUAACCUUCCGAAAGGAGGGCUAAUACAGCAUGAGACCACGAGUUCGCAGAACUUGUGGCCAAAGCGGACCUCUUCUUGAAAGUUCGCGCUUGAGGACGAGCCUGCGGCCCAUCAGCUAGUUGGUAGGGUAACGGCCUACCAAGGCUAAGACGGGUAGCUGGUCUGAGAGGACGGACAGCCACACUGGAACUGAGACACGGUCCAGACUCCUACGGGAGGCUG
rnacentral:rRNA from 1 species